AAACAUUUGCGGUGAAAUGCGCAAUUGGAUUCUGUUGAGUUCUUUGUGUAUGAGAAGGUUGGAGAAAGACCACUUUGUUAAGCCGGGGUGAUGUUUUUUUGAAUGACCGCAGUUCGAAAUCGCCCCGGUUUCACAAU
rnacentral:ncRNA from 1 species